ACGCCUCCACUGCUGGAACAGUGGACACCAUGGAUAGUCGAACCAGUCGCCCCUCCCACGGAUCUCGCACCGCUACCGCAGGCAGUCUGGAGUCCUCUAGAGAGAAUUUGUCUUCAGAGGAUGCACCAUUACUGGAAAAUAAUACUUUACAAUUGAACACAGAGACUCAAGAUGAAGUUAUAGAAGAAGAAAACAAGGAAUCUUAGAUAUUUCAUCAUGAAUCUAUAGAUUUUGUUGGAAGACAUUGAACUAUCUAUGUAUGGUAGUUGGAUCUGAGAAUGUGCAUUCUAUAUGAUAUUUCAAUAGUAAAAAUUGGGUUUUUUUUUUAAAUGAUUGUAUGUUUACUGUCAGAAUUAUUCCUAUAGGGACUUCUGUGAUAAGAAAUUAAAUGAGUGUUGUGAAAAUGUGUGUACAGUAUGUAGAAAUGAUAUUAAAAGGAAUGGACUGUUAC
rnacentral:misc_RNA from 1 species